AUUGAACGCUGGCGGCAGGCCUAACACAUGCAAGUCGAGCGGAUGAAGGGAGCUUGCUCCUGGAUUCCGCGGCGGACGGGUGAGUAAUGCCUAGGAAUCUGCCUGGUCGUGGGGGAUAACGUCCGGAAACGGGCGCUAAUACCGCAUACGUCCUGAGGGAGAAAGUGGUGGAUCUUCGGACCUCACGCUAUCAGAUGAGCCUAGGUCGGAUUAGCUAGUUGGUGGGGUAAAGGCCUACCAAGGCGACGAUCCGUAACUGGUCUGAGAGGAUGAUCAGUCACACUGGAACUGAGACACGGUCCAGACUCCUACGGGAGGCAGCAGUGGGGAAUAUUGGACAAUGGGCGAAAGCCUGACCCAGCCAUGCCGCGUGUGUGAAGAAGGUCUUCGGAUUGUAAAGCACUUUUAGUUGGGAGGAAGGGCAGUGAGUUAAUACCUGGCUGUUUUGACGGUACCAACAGAAUAAGCACCGGCUAACUUCGUG
rnacentral:rRNA from 1 species